CAAGAAAAAACCUUGACCUCAAAUCGGGUGAGACUACCCGCUGAACUUAAGCAUAUCAAUAAGCGGAGGAAAAGAAACUAACAAGGAUUCCCCUAGUAACUGCGAGUGAAGCGGGAAAAGCUCAAAUUUAAAAUCUGGUGGUCUUUGGCCAUCCGAGUUGUAAUUUAGAGAAGCGUUUUCCGCGCUGGGCCAUGCACAAGUCUCCUGGAAUGGAGCGUCAUAGAGGGUGAGAAUCCCGUCUUUGGCAUGGAUAUAACCAGUGCUUUUGUGAUGCGCUCUCGAAGAGUCGAGUUGUUUGGGAAUGCAGCUCAAAAUGGGUGGUGAACUCCAUCUAAAGCUAAAUAUUGGCGAGAGACCGAUAGCGAACAAGUACCGUGAGGGAAAGAUGAAAAGCACUUUGGAAAGAGAGUGAAACAGUACGUGAAAUUGUUGAAAGGGAAACGCUUAAAGUCAGUCGCGUUGUCCAAGACUCAGCCUUGCUUUGGCUUGGUGUAUUUCUUGGUUGACGGGUCAGCAUCGACUUUGACCCUUGGAUAAUGGUAAGGGAAAUGUGACACCUUUUAGGUGUGUUAUAGUCUCUUGUCACAUGUGAGGGUUAGGAUUGAGGAACUCAGCAUGCACCCUUUGGGUGUCGGGGCUUUUGUCCACGAUACAUGCUUAGGAUGUUGGCGAAUGC
rnacentral:rRNA from 1 species